rnacentral:lncRNA from 1 species
AUUAAUCACCAAUGAACUUGUUUUGACUUUUCAAUUUUUUUGGAAUGUUUUCAUAUUUAUGGCUAACAAUUAAAAAUGGAUAAAAGAAUUUGGAUUAUAUAUUAGAGGGAGAUCCUUUUGUAUUUUAUGAUGAAUUACAGGCACCCUUUAUGUUGUUUAUGGAAUUGCACUUCACCCCCCUUGAGCUUUUGAGUUUGGUUGCUGCACCUUUAAAACUACAUUGAAA